ACCUGUAUCUAUCAUCGAGUAAUCAUAGAUAAAUGUAUGAUUCAUUAUAAGAAAUUUGAAUAUACCAGACAAAACAAAAACAUAUAACACCAAUUAAAACUAAACGACAAAUAUAUAGGUAUGUUUGUUGCAAUUUUGUCAAAUUAUUUCGUUUUAGCCGGAAACUAUAGAUAUCAGUGACGAUGAUGACAAACAAACAACCACAAGGAAAGUGUCAUUAACCACACCUGAGUCAACAGUUCAAACCAGGGCAGCUGUGCUGGCAAGACCUAAUUUCAGUCGUAAGCAAACGAUACAUUGCUCAGAAAAAGAGAUAGAAAACUGUUUUUGGGAACUUGACGGCGGUGGCUACAUCACAGCACUUUUGGC